rnacentral:lncRNA from 1 species
GGGAGCGAGCGAGCGACCCGGCCCUGGAGUCCGAGCCAGCCCCGCGUCCCGCGCCCGCCGCCCGCCGCCCGCUCCCGCGCCCGCGCCCGCGCCCGCCGGCCGGGCCCCCCGAGCCGGGCCUCCAGCUGGGCCCCGAGCCCGAGCCCGCGCCGCGCGAGCCGCUGCCCGAGAGUCCGCGGCCGCCGCUGCCGGGCCCGGAGCCGCCGCGGCCGAGAGGGGCCCGCGCCCAGGAGCGGCGGCGGGGCCCGGCCUGCGCGGCCGUUGGCGGAGGAGCCGCGGGCGCCAUUAGCACCGCCUCGGCCGCGCCGGCCCCCGCGCCCGCCCGCUUGCCGGGCUCCCGCGGCCGCGGCGCCCCGAAGGUAAUCAUUACCAAAUGAGGAGGAAAGGACGAUGUCAUCGAGGCUCUGCAGCGAGGCAUCCUUCUUCCCCAUGCAGUGUUAAACACUCCCCUACGCGAGAAACGCUGACCUACGCUCAAGCUCAAAGGAUGGUAGAGAUAGAAAUUGAAGGGCGCUUGCACAGGAUCAGUAUUUUUGAUCCCCUGGAGAUCAUAUUGGAAGAUGACCUCACUGCUCAAGAGAUGAGUGAGUGCAACAGCAACAAGGAAAACAGCGAGCGGCCUCCUGUCUGCUUAAGAACUAAGCGUCAC